rnacentral:rRNA from 1 species
UGGGGAAUAUUGCACAAUGGGCGCAAGCCUGAUGCAGCCAUGCCGCGUGUAUGAAGAAGGCCUUCGGGUUGUAAAGUACUUUCAGCGGGGAGGAAGGGAGUAAAGUUAAUACCUUUGCUCAUUGACGUUACCCGCAGAAGAAGCACCGGCUAACUCCGUGCCAGCAGCCGCGGUAAUACGGAGGGUGCAAGCGUUAAUCGGAAUUACUGGGCGUAAAGCGCACGCAGGCGGUUUGUUAAGUCAGAUGUGAAAUCCCCGAGCUCAACCUGGGAACUGCAUCUGAUACUGGCAAGCUUGAGUCUCGUAGAGGGGGGUAGAAUUCCAGGUGUAGCGGUGAAAUGCGUAGAGAUCUGGAGGAAUACCGGUGGCGAAGGCGGCCCCCUGGACGAAGACUGACGCUCAGGUGCGAAAGCGUGGGGAGCAAACA